CCCAGGUUAGCUCAGUUAGAGAGCGCUCCACUGGAAAUGGAGAGGUCCCGGGUUCGAUACCCGGACCAGGCG
rfam:Ixodes scapularis strain Wikel colony gcontig_1108379828948, whole genome shotgun sequence.